rnacentral:rRNA from 1 species
AGAGUUAAUCAUGGCUCAGGAUGAACGCUGGCGGCGUGCCUAACACAUGCAAGUCGAACGGAGAUCAUUGGAAUGCGGCUCGGCCAAGUGAAGGUGAUCUUAGUGGCGGACGGGUGAGUAACGCGUGGGGAACCUGCCCCAUACCGGGGGAUAACAGUGAGAAAUUACUGCUAAUACCGCAUAAGCGCACGGGAGCGCAUGCUCCUGUGUGAAAAACUCCGGUGGUAUGGGAUGGACCCGCGUUGGAUUAGCUUGUUGGCGGGGCAACGGCCCACCAAGGCGACGAUCCAUAGCCGGCCUGAGAGGGUGAACGGGCACAUUGGGACUGAGACACGGCCCAGACUCCUACGGGAGGCAGCAGUGGGGAAUAUUGCACAAUGGGGGAAACCCUGAUGCAGCGACGCCGCGUGAAGGAUGAAGUAUUUCGGUAUGUAAACUUCUAUCAGCAGGAAAGAAAAUGACGGUACCUGACUAAGAAGCCCCGGCUAACUACGUGCCAGCAGCCGC